AUACAUGCAAGUCGAACGAGUUCUCGUUGAUGAUCGGUGCUUGCACCGAGAUUCAACAUGGAACGAGUGGCGGACGGGUGAGUAACACGUGGGUAACCUGCCCUUAAGUGGGGGAUAACAUUUGGAAACAGAUGCUAAUACCGCAUAGAUCCAAGAACCGCAUGGUUCUUGGCUGAAAGAUGGCGUAAGCUAUCGCUUUUGGAUGGACCCGCGGCGUAUUAGCUAGUUGGUGAGGUAACGGCUCACCAAGGCGAUGAUACGUAGCCGAACUGAGAGGUUGAUCGGCCACAUUGGGACUGAGACACGGCCCAAACUCCUACGGGAGGCAGCAGUAGGGAAUCUUCCACAAUGGACGCAAGUCUGAUGGAGCAACGCCGCGUGAGUGAAGAAGGCUUUCGGGUCGUAAAACUCUGUUGUUGGAGAAGAAUGGUCGGCAGAGUAACUGUUGUCGGCGUGACGGUAUCCAACCAGAAAGCCACGGCUAACUACGUGCCAGCAGCCGCGGUAAUACGUAGGUGGCAAGCGUUAUCCGGAUUUAUUGGGCGUAAAGCGAGCGCAGGCGGUUUUUUAAGUCUGAUGUGAAAGCCCUCGGCUUAACCGAGGAAGCGCAUCGGAAACUGGGAAACUUGAGUGCAGAAGAGGACAGUGGAACUCCAUGUGUAGCGGUGAAAUGCGUAGAUAUAUGGAAGAACACCAGUGGCGAAGGCGGCUGUCUGGUCUGUAACUGACGCUGA
rnacentral:rRNA from 1 species